UACGUAGGUGACGAGCGUUAUCCGGAUUUACUGGGCGUAAAGCGCUUGUAGGUGGCUUUGUAAGUUGGGCGUGAAAACUCUGGCUUAACCCAAGAGACGCCGUCCAAUACUGCGAGGCUCGAGGAUGUCAGAGGAAGGUGGAAUUCCUGGUGUAGUGGUGAAAAUGCGUAGAUAUCAGGAGGAACACCUGCGGCGAAGGCGGGGUUGCUGGGCUGACACUGACUGAUGCGCGAAAACCGGGGGAGCAAACGGGG
rnacentral:rRNA from 1 species